rnacentral:lncRNA from 1 species
AUGUUGUUUUAUGUUCUUCUGGAAGGAGACCCUAGGGUCUUCCCUAAACAUGCUGGGAAAGCUAUAUCUCUGGAAUGGCCAGGGAAUGGCUCGGGAUCAGAGAAGCUGGUGGAAGAGACUGGGGAGGGGACAGUCUGGGAUUUCCUUGCUAGGGAAGAAAAACAGAUGACGAGACAAGAUUUUAGUUGGGAGCAGCUGAAAGAAACCAGUUCAACACAUAAUGUUGGUCUGAUGAGAUUUCGUAUAGCUACUAAUGUUUCUCCUUUUGUUGUAUUCCAGGGGAUCCAAGGGGAUGCAGGGAUUCCUGGUGCACCUGGACCAAAUGGGGUUACAGGUGAUUCUGGUGUAAAAGGUGAAAAAGGAACACCAGGAGCUCAAGGGAAACCGGGUCCAGAUGGAUUACCUGGAAAACCUGGACUUCCUGGGGUAGACGUGAGUUUAGUUUAAGCAUAUAUUCAAGAUUCUAAAACUAUGAAUGACUUUUCAUUUGAUCUGCAGCACUUUCAACAAAUAUUUGUAUUAACUGAACGUCUUUUUAGGGUUUGAGAGGACUGGAUGGAGCUGUUGGGCCAAGUGGAAUUAAAGGCAACAAGGUUUGACUACUCCUAUGCUUCUGUGUGUCUACUUCUAACAUGACUGGGAAUAAUUUCUAUCAGUUAUAAUCAUGGUAACGUAAAUAAAGCAGACCCUAUUUCCUUUUAUGUAUUUUAUAUGCAAGACGCCGACGGCUCGUUUGAAACAGCUUUGGCAUCAACUUUGGACUAUUUAGAUGUGGACUUUUCUUUGAGUCAAGAGUAGAAAGAGAUGAUUAAGUUUAUUAUUUAGAAAAAGGAUGCAUUUGUGUCCUCUUCAUGAAUGGAAGACUGCCAUGUUGGCUGACAUCCCUAGUGGUGAGUAUGUCAGGUUGGGUGUUGUACGCAGAGACAGUUGGAAAGACAACCGUAGAUCCCGCCCCACGACUGAGAGCUGUUAAUGGCUAGUGGCCAGAUUAUAUAAUCACACAUUUAGACCCUUUAAUGCUGUUCUUCACACGCUCAAGAUCCCAUCCCCAGCUUCUGGCUGGGGGGCAUCUCUGUUGACCACUGCUGCUCUUAUCUGUCAGUUGUCAACAAAUUGAAAUCUAUCAGCAUGGUGAACACAUACGGCACUGUAGGCUGCACAGGUAGAUAACAUACGCCAAAGUCACUGGUUAACAGCCAGGAAUAGAGUUUGUCGAAGCCAACAUCUCAUGACUCAUUCCAAAAGUAAAGUACCAGCCCCACAUGUCCAGACACAAACACGGUUUUAAUCAACUUGUUUAAUUUUCUUAUAGAUCAAAACAACAAAACAAAGAUAACAAUAGUGUGUAUACACACACACACACAC